GCGUGCUGAACCCUGCCUUGUUCUUUGGUGUUUUUUUUUUGCCUGGCUGAACCCUACGUGCAGGGGCGGGCCUAGGCCUAAGGUUAGUAGGGCCAUUGCCUUAGUCGUGGCUCAGAAAUUGUAGAAACAACUUUUCAAUUUUGGCCCCAAAAAAUAAGCCCAUUAAGAAGAAAACUAGGGCAAACUCUCAGCCACACUGGCCACUGAGCCACGCACGGACGCGCCCACGCCGCCACACGCCUCGCCUCCGCUCUGCUCCAGCCUUUCGGGUCCGCGUCCGGCGGCCCACCUCCCUUCUCUUGCUCAGCGUCGGCGCAACGGGCCGACGGCGCCUCCUGCUCCGGCGUCCCUCGCGGUCGCGGCCAGUGGCCUACUCCGGCGUCCCUCGUAGUCGCUUGCUGGCAAGCAGGGCACCAGCCGCUAGGGCCGACCGCCCAGACCAGGGGGCAGGGCCCAGACACGCUCGCCCCUCGCCCUUCGGUUGCUGCUGCCGGAGCGAUAGAGCUGGAAGGCCAGACCAGCGGCCUAGUCGCCCAGAUGUGGCUGCCCCUGUCUGACUACCUCUGUCUAGAAACAGGAAUGUUCAGAAGCCUGAAUCCGUGAACGCAGGAAGUGAAGCUCAAACCUGCUCUCGUGAUCCAUCCCAUUCCUUCUCCCUCCUCCGCGAUCGUCUUCGGCGUCGCAUGAGCUUCGACGCAGCACAGAGCUGAGAGCGGCAACGACCACUCAACGGUGGCGGUGAUGUCGGAGCCAUGGAGCUGACCUAGGACGGCGAGGAAUGCCCAUGUCAGGAGCUCCGCCGAGAUGAGAGCAGUGGCACUCAAAGACUGCUCACUGAGGCCACGAUAUUUCUUAGGACCAUUGCUAUUCUUCUUAGGUGCACCUUUGGUGACAGCAAUAGCUGGAUCACAUACAAAAACAAUUGUACUAUGACGUGUCUGAUCAUUUUGAUCAACCAGGCUCAGGCCAUCACUGACAGUGAAAUUAAACUAGUACGCAAA